rnacentral:misc_RNA from 1 species
AAAUGCGAGAAGUAAUGUGAAUUGCAGAAUUCAGUGAAUCAUCGAAUCUUUGAACGCACAUUGCGCCCGCCAGUAUUCUGGCGGGCAUGCCUGUCCGAGCGUCAUUUCAACCAUCAAGCCCCCGGGCUUGUGUUGGGGACCUGCGGCUGCCCGCAGGCCCUGAAAACCAGUGGCGGGCUCGCUGUCACACCGAGCGUAGUAGCAAUCACCUCGCUCAGGGCGUGCUGCGGGUUCCGGCCGUUAAACAGCCUUACAAAACCCAAGGUUGACCUCGGAUCAGGUAGGAAGACCCGCUGAACUUAAGC